rnacentral:rRNA from 1 species
UACGGGGGGUGCAAGCGUUACUCGGAAUCACUGGGCGUAAAGAGCAUGUAGGCGGAUUAAUAAGUUUGAAGUGAAAUCCUAUAGCUUAACUAUAGAACUGCUUUGAAAACUGUUAGUCUAGAAUGUGGGAGAGGUAGAUGGAAUUUCUGGUGUAGGGGUAAAAUCCGUAGAGAUCAGAAGGAAUACCGAUUGCGAAGGCGAUCUACUGGAACAUUAUUGACGCUGAGAUGCGAAAGCGUGGGGAGCAAACAGGAUUAGAUACCCCUUGUAGUCC